rnacentral:sRNA from 1 species
GUGACUUCGGGAAGAUGGCUACCCUGACAGCGGAGCAUUUUGCAGCACUCCAGAGCCUGCUCAAGGCCUCCUCAAAAGAUGUUGUCAGACAGCUGUGUCAAGAAAGCUUUUCCAGUUCAGCCCUUGGCUCGAAAAAACUCUUGGAUAUUACAUGUUCCAGCUUGUCUGUGACCCAGGAGGAGGCAGAGGAACUGCUCCAGGCUCUGCACCGCCUCACUAGGCUGGUGGCAUUCCGUGACCUGUCCUCUGCCGAGGCGAUUCUGGCUCUCUUUCCCGAAAAUUUCCACCAAAACCUCAAAAACCUGCUGACAAAGAUCAUCCUAGAACAUGUGUCUACUUGGAGAACCGAAGCCCAGGCAAAUCAGAGUGAGUACCAAUAAAUCUGCCCUGCCCUUCUUACUUGUCUCCCCAGUCCCAGCUCUCAGUCUGUCAAGUGAUCAGAGAUUUCGACAGAAACCAAAGUGAACCAUUCUAGUCUCAACUCAUACUCUGUGUACGGUGGGUUUUUUUCCCUAAUUCUACUUUUUAACUUUUUUCUGAUAUAAACAUUAUUGUAUAGGCAUGUUGUUAAAAAACAGAAAUAUCCAAAGCAGAAAGUGAAGUACUUAAUAUUUCAAUUGUGAAAAAAAUUAACAAUAAUCAAAAAUAGUUUGAAAGGCUGAAUAAAAGUCCAUGUUUAAUAAAUGGUCAUUACAGUAACUCUGAGCCAGCCACGGUGCUGGAGCAGUUAAUCUGCAUUAAGUCAUUUAGUCCUCCCGACACCCUGUGAGCUAGGCUGAUAAGCAAACAGAAGCUCAGAGGUUAGAUAAGUGGUAGUACCUAUAUUCAAGUCAAGUCCGUUUAUCUCUAAAACAAGAGCUCUUACCAGUAUUGAUGAAGCUACACAUUUCCUAAGCCUCAGGCCAUGAUUUCUUCUCUGUCUUAUGUCACUUCUCAUUCUGCCCUAACAUCUGGAGGGCUGGGUGUUCAGGUAGAAGGCU